CACAUCCUGACCAGUAAAAGGGGUUGUUUGUUAUUGUAGUUUGGUCAGGGCGUGGCAGGGGGUGUUUGUUUUAGGUGUUUCGGGGUUUUUUGGUUAAUGUUCUAUGUUGGCAUAUUUCUAUGUUCGUUCUAGUUUUCUAUUUCUAUGUUUAGUUUAUUGGAUUGACCUUCAAUUGGAGGCAGCUGUUCCUCGUUGUGUGUUUAUUUUGGUUUUCUUCUAAAUAAAGAAGAUGAGCAUACACAUUCCCGCUGCGUUUUGGUCCACUCCUUACGACGAACGUGACAGCCAGCUAGCUCACUCAGCCAGACAGUUUUAUUUAGCUAACAUUAGCUAGCUAGCAAGCUACUGUAACUGUUAUUGCAGCUUUCUGUUUGUAUGUAGUUGCACUUCAAUGGCAUCCCUCGGGGAGAUUUUAUUUUAUCUUUCCAACCAGGCGAAGUACUAUGAAGACAGCACUGAUCUCGGCAAGAGGCGCAACAUGCAGAGAAAUUCACAAUUCAGGGUAAUCAUAUCUACCUACCUACGGGGGAAGGAUGGCCAGCAACACAGGGAGGUGAUUUUUACUAAAGAAGAGAAGGAGGCCGUGCUGACCGAGAUGUAUGCUGGUCAUUUCGGAGUGAAGCGCAUGAUUGCCAAAAUCAACCUACAUUUCUUCUGGGCAAGUAAAAUAACCUUUUGUUUAUUAAUCACAUUAUAUUAUAUCUGAAAUUAUUAUGAGUUCAAUGAAUGUCAUAUCAGAGAGCACCCUGUCUAGCCUGCCAGAAGAUUGAGAGGGCGAAGACUGUGGCACUGGAAUUGAAGCCCAUCAAAGUUGUUUCACCAUGGCAUAUGAUCGGAGCUUGGGGUUCUACCCAACACCCAGACUUGGAUCCACCUGAUGUCCUUCAUUACCAACCACCCUCCAACUUUUCAUUACAUCAUCUACAGAUACUGUUGUUGUCAUGAUGUCAUUAUCUGCUAAGAAGGGUUUCUUGCUCUAUCAUACCGGGCACAUAAUAUGUGAGAUACACAGAUUAACUAAAAACACUAGCACUGCAAACACCCAGAACAAAGAGAGCAGCAUUGCCUGGACUUUGCAGUCUACCUCUUCAAGUCCCCCUUCUGAGACUGGCUGCCUGUUGAGAACAAGUGACAGGCAGAACCUCCCACCCACACAGCAAUCACCUCCUCUAUAUUACAAACACCAGAAUUCAGUAUUUUAGUCUAUGAUUGUCAUGUGAGUGCACC
rnacentral:lncRNA from 1 species